ACCCACGACGGCGAAGACCCGCUACAGCGCGUCCACGAAGCCCCAGUACUGAGCCAGGACGGGGCUCUCCCUCUCGAUGUAGGCGACUACGAACUGCUCCGCCAGCCGGUGAGGCAGCUAAUUAAGAAAGCCACCUUCAGGAUGUCUUUCGAGAAUCUAGCCUCGAAGAAAGUCAUGUAAGAGAACGCCUGCAUCAAAAAGUCGGGAGGCCGGGCGGAGUCGCCGUUAAACGUCCAGGGAAAGCCACCAGGUGGGCCGGCGAACGCUCCCGGGCCAGCAGGUAUAUAUUAGAAAAUAAAAUUUUAAAACAACGUGGCCAGAUAUAUGACAGAUCUUCAAUAGAUAUUUUAUAUUCUGUAUGUGAUAAUUCUGAAUCCUUGAGAAUCAAUAUCUGUUGUUUCUGAUGGCUCUCAUAAUGGCAUGUUUCUUUAUGUGUAUCAUGAGUUUAUAUAUAUGAACAAUUGUCUACUAAGUCUUUCACUAAUAUGGGAUAAACAAGUUAUAAUAAUAAUAACUUAUAAUAACAAUAAGUUAUAAUAAUCAGCCAUCCUCAGUUGCCUGGUCCAUGUCACAGUUAUUAAGUGGUAGAGUUCAGAAUUAAAUUCAGGUCUGUCUGACUUCAAAAACAACUUUUGCUCUCUCGGCCUUAGCGCCAUCUUCUUGGAAACUUCUGCACCAUGAGAGCCAAGCAGAGAAAGAAGUGAAUGCGCAGGCUGAAACGCAAAAGAAGAAAGGUGAGGCAGAGGGCCAAGUAAACUGCUAGCUUGUGCACCCGCGGAGGCCACAGCAGCAGAAACAUGAAGUGCCAGAGGCUGGGGAUGCUGGCACAAGUUGUUGGACUGCAUGCUACUGUCUAGAGCUUGUCUCAAUGGAUCUAGAACUUUCAUUGCCAUCUGAUCGCUGAGACCACCUCUGAGACCCACCUUGCUCAUAAUCAAAACUGUCCAUCUUGGUCCUUUGCCCUGGAACUGUGACAU
ensembl:lncRNA novel transcript